UCUAGCUUGUUGACACACUUAAUUGAAUAACAAUAAAAGGCAAUUUGAUACUCACGUAAUAUUCAUCCCUCCAAAUUUGUAUCAAGUCUUCACCAAAAAGUCACCACCGCAGCAUCACACAUCACAACAGACGAAAUCCCAAGGUGAUGAUGCUUCAACAAUGAGGAGAAGACAGCUUGAUAUUCACUUAUCUGCCUUGUCUAUGGCAUCUGUUAGUGAUUCUAGAUUGUUCACGAAAAAUCGUCUUCUGCUAUCUAGGUUCCGAUGACCAUUGAUAAUUGGAGAGCAGCAUAGGAAUGGAACAGCUUUGUCUGGGCCAAAUGCCCUACUCAAUAGAAUCCUCUUGGGAAACUUUGUCUGCUCCUAAGUUACACAACACACAUCACAAGUUAAUUAACAAAAUCAAAACAAAUUUAGAUUGGGAUUUUGAGCUGAAGUUUUUGUUUGACCUAGGACCUAGCUAGGUGCUUGUGACAAUGGAGAGGAAAUGAUCCACCAAUAAUGCUAUGUCUUCCAAAGCUAAAUAGUUUCUACUGUUAUUUAAUGUUUAUAAUAAUAUUUCAGGUUAACUUUCCCUGUCAAAUCGUAGUAAAUCUUCAAGAUAUUGAUGCCUUCCUCAGAUCCAAUUCUUUGCUGCCAUCUCUUCUGCAGACAACAGCAAAAUAAUGCUGCCAAUCAGGAGGUUGUGGUGACCUCCACUUAGUUCUUAUUCAGGACAUGUAAUGAUAGAUUUGAGGUUAAUCCCUCACCAUUCUAGAGUUGUUUGGAAACUGAUGAGAGAUUCCUGAAACUGAAGACUGAUAAUUGGUGUAGAUGUAGAUAUAUAUUACAAGUGCAUAUAUCUGGGCUCCCUUCUUUUCUGUGGCCCCGUUUCCCUAACUAAUUACUAACCAACGCCCGCCGGUGGUCACUCACCCGCUGUGAUAACUAGGAGGAUGAGGAGGGCUCUGGUCGAACGGCGACAUGGAAGGUUCAUGAUCUGAGGAAAACUUUUGGAGGGUCAUGAGUCUAACCAGGAAGUCUAGUAAGACUAAUUGUUUCCUAGUAAAAUUAGCCACGCACUCUUCUCUCUUCUUCCUUGUCCAGGUAAGCUUCCUGGGCACAGUCAAUGAAGGGAAAAUUUCCUAUGCAAUGAAAGAGUUGAUUUAGGUUGUUUAAAAUUUUCAGAAAUUAUCAUGCAGUUUAGUUUCACGUUAUUCUGCUAAUUUUUAAAACUCAUUACUAAUAAAUGAAUUUUUGU